rnacentral:rRNA from 1 species
AGCGAACGCUGGCGGCAGGCCUAACACAUGCAAGUCGAACGAAGUCUUCAGACUUAGUGGCGGACGGGUGAGUAACACGUGGGAACGUACCUUUUGGUUCGGAACAACUCAGGGAAACUUGAGCUAAUACCGGAUGAGCCCUUAGGGGGAAAGAUUUAUCGCCGAAAGAGCGGCCCGCGUUAGAUUAGCUAGUUGGUGAGGUAAAGGCUCACCAAGGCUACGAUCUAUAGCUGGUCUGAGAGGAUGAUCAGCCACACUGGGACUGAGACACGGCCCAGACUCCUACGGGAGGCAGCAGUGGGGAAUCUUGCGCAAUGGGCGAAAGCCUGGCGCAUCCAUGCCGCGUGAAUGAUGAAGGUCUUAGGAUUGUAAAAUUCUUUUACCAGUGACGAUAAUGACGGUACCUGGAGAAAAAGCCCCGGCUAACUUCGUGCCAGCCGCCGCAGUAAAAC